rnacentral:rRNA from 1 species
CAGCCGCCGCGGUAAAACGAAGGGUGCAAGCGUUACUCGGAAUUACUGGGCGUAAAGCGUGCGUAGGUGGUGGUUUAAGUCCGUUGUGAAAGCCCUGGGCUCAACCUGGGAAUUGCAGUGGAUACUGGGUCACUAGAGUGUGGUAGAGGAUAGUGGAAUUUCCGGUGUAGCAGUGAAAUGCGUAGAGAUCGGAAGGAACAUCUGUGGCGAAGGCGACUAUCUGGGCCAACACUGACACUGAGGCACGAAAGCGUGGGGAGCAAACAGGAUUAGAUACCCCGGUAGUCCCUGUCUCUUAUAA